ACACCUAAUUGCUAUCGAUUAGAAUUCUAGACCAUGAUUAGCUCUGGUUUUCUUUGCUUUUGGGGUUAGGACCCGCAUGCUUGUGUAUUGAGAAAAUUCUGUAGGAUAAGCGUGGAAUAGUCCAUCCUAUAAAUUACAAAAUGCAAACCCAUGUCUCAAAGAGCUGUAGGAUAAGCGUGAAAUAGUCCAUCCUAUAAACUACAAAAUGCAAAACCCAUGUCUCGAAGAGCCCUGCUCCGGCCGGCAUCGCGGGCAAGCGAGCCCCACGUUGAGGCGUGGUUGGGCUUGAGCGAGCUUCCCGUGCGCGCGGCUCGCGCACAGGCCUGGAUCCCUGUGUUCUGGCUCAGCUCAGCACCCACGCGCGUGCGCGCGACGGAUGGCGUUUGGCACCGGCAUCGCCGCACCGCGCGUUAAAAAACGACCCGCUCCUCCGCUCUCGCUCGCUCAGCCCCAACUCGGCCACUCCUUUUUUUUUUUUUGGAAACCUGCCACUCCUUGGAGUUCCUAGAAGAUGGCACUGUUUGGAGGCACCAAAAGGCAUCGUCAAGCUGUCAGGCCUGCUUAUAUAUGCACUGCUAGUACGGAGUACUAUAAACUAGUACUCGUAAUACCGAACGUUUGGAUAAAGUACAGCUCAUCUUCACAAAGAUGUUGGAGUUCGGAUCGAAUGCCCGAGCUGCACAAUGCGCUGCAUAGAUCGGAGACCGACCGAUGACUAGAUGAGCACCUGUUGUGCCAACGGAUAACAUGGUUAUGUGUCUGUUGUAUGUGCUCCCCGCCCAAUCACACCUGCUGCUGACGUGGAAGGGAAUCGUACUCAUUUGGAGUCAAAACCGUUGUUUACCUCCACCGAUCGAAGAAUCUGAGGUGGAGUGGCAGCCUGGCUUGCUCAAUCGACCAAUGGGACUGUAUACACGCUUGAAUGCUUGAUCCUUUGAGAGUCAAUGAUUGUUCCCGGUCGCUUGGAUUGGAUCAUUCCAAUUUAAACAAGUUAUGUUCCCUGGUUCUUGGGCGAGCUCGAGAGGUGUCUCCACCGAAGUAGAAAUCGCGUUUACUUUCCUACGCGAUCAGCUCACGGCUCAUCAGUGAUCGCAAUACAUGCAUGAUGCACACGUCCCAUUGGGCUGAGAUCGCAUUUUAAUUAGGCCCCCUUUAAACUGUGACCGAUAGUAUAGGUCGCAUGGCAAACCGUUUGAAAGGGCAUGUACCUAUUAAAGGCUAAGUUCCUAUUAAAAAAAGCUACAUAUAUCCAAAUGGAUAUAGAGGCCGGGUAAAAAAAUAUUCUUCUAAAAAAAAGAUUCAAAACAAAUUUUCCAAGAGAUUAAAACUCUUGCUUACUUUCCUAUAAAAUAUCUAUAGAAUUAUCCAUUCCAUAGGAUUUUUAAAGGAAAUGAUAUGAUUCAAUCAUUUGUUUUAAAGGGUUUUGUAGAAUUUUUCCUAU
rnacentral:sRNA from 1 species